rnacentral:sRNA from 1 species
AAAGAAGGAGAUUAGGACAUUUAGAGAAGGAGGGCGGGGAGGAGAGAUCCUGAGAAUAGAAAGGAGGAAAGAAAAAAAGAGGAAUGGAAAGAGACAGAGAAAGGAAAUGGGAGUGGAAGGAGGGAGGACUGCUUUGUAACUGCUAAGAUUGCAGACAGAAAUAGCACACAACCACUGUGAGCUGUAUGCGAUUCAGAAACCAAGACCAAAUUUUGCUCACUUUCAUUAAUCAGUUGCUCAGAGAGAAGGAAAUGACAUCUGGUUCUGUCUUCUUCUACAUCUUAAUUAUUGGAAAAUAUUUACUUCCUCCUGAAGAAUGAACUUUCAAACUAUUUUUUAUUAACACUCCAUCUCCCACCUAGAAUCAAAUAGUAUUACAACAGCUAGUACUGCCUCUUCCUUUGACACAGAAGAAAACCUAAAAUCCAGUAAGACAGAGUGGCAUGCCAAAUUUGCCCAUCAAUUUAUUGGCACAUUCAAGAAUAAAGCAAAACUCUACUGAAUAUCAAUAUAGUAGUAUCUGCCUCUGAGGAUUCUUGGUGCAUAUUUUUGCAUUCUGUCAUGUUUCGUCCAUUUUGCCCCUACCUUGGGCAUUUAAAUAUAAAGAUUCCCAUGAGAUCGGAUCAAUUCAGCUUUUUAUUUCUAGAAAUGUCUAUAAAGAGAAGAACUAACAAGAGAACCAUCUUUUUAUUUUUUAAAUUUACUUCCUAAAUAUAAAUGAAGGAGAAUCUAGAACCACUGUCUUCAUUGGAA